rnacentral:lncRNA from 1 species
AGACCAUAUGUGAUAGUAACGGUCUAUAAUAAUGCUACAUAUUUGUGAGCCUAAAAUCCACCACUCUAUGGAUUUAGUACUCCACAACGAGCUCAAGAGGUAGAAUGGAAGAACUCCCAAUUGUGAAAUUGUUAGGUUAAUUAAAAUGAGGGUAUUUAUAAUUCAAUUAAAAUUAACGCCUUCCAAGCAAUGGUUACCGAUAUUAAAUUAAAAUAUCAAAUGAAAUUCACCACACAAAAAAAAUGAUAAAAGUAAUUAAUUAAGCUUUUCUUAUUAAUUCACAAUAAGAAUAAAAACUUAAGUUUAAAUUAAAAGUUAAAAUUUAACAGUAAAAGUUAAGUUAAAAAUUAAAGUUAAAGUUAAAUGUUAAAGUUAAAAGUUAAAAUUUAAAGUUAAAUAUUAAAUUCAAAAGUUAAAGUUCAAAAUUUAAAAAUUUAAGUAAAAAUAUUAAAGAUUAAAAGUUAAAAGUUAAAAUUUAUUAGUCAAAAGUUGAAAUGUGGAGAUUACGAGUUAUUGUGAAGAUAAAAGUAAAAAUAAAAUAAGAGGUGUAAAAGCGAAGGUACCUUGACAAUGCCAAGGAUUGAAGGCAACGACCCCCUUCUACUCCAAAAUUCGCCAAAACUUUUAAUUAGUUCCAAAUUGAAUGAUUUGCAAGUUUUUGCAAGGUUAACUUAAAAAGACGCUCCUGCUCCAACAAAUCUCAUUGCAAUCUAGUGAUCCAGUCGUGAGAAUUGCUCUUUUGAAGUUGAGUGAUCCAAACUGCCGCGGCGACCAACCCCCUUCACUUAGAAAUUCGCCAAAAACUCAAAUUGUCUUCAAAUCCAGCGAAACUUGUGCCUUUCAAAGCUUAGCUUACAAAUCUUGAUGCUUCCAAAAUUUCAAACGAAUCCAGUUAUCAGGCACUGAGAAAUGCCUUCCCAAACUCG